GUUAUUAUUUACAUUAAUAAAUUUGUUGUGCAAUUCAAUAUAACUUGAAAUAAUUAUCUAAUUUUUAUUUUUUUUCUCAUUUUUUAAAAAAAUUAUUUUGUUUUUUAGUAUUUUUUGAAUUAAUAUAUUUUUAUUAUAGUUUAUUUUACUGUAAAGGAUUUAUUUAUAUUUUGUUUAAGUAUUUUUUGUUUAAUGUACCUUUUGCAUCAGGGUUUAUCAAAUUAAUAAAAUUAUUUUAUUUUCUCGAAAUUUUGGGAUUUAAACUUUAAUGAUUUUUAUUGUAACAAAAAUAUUUUUAAUUAUGGUUUAGAUGUUAUAUGCUUUUCAUCCAAAAUGAUAUCUAGUUUAUUGAUAAAUGAAUUUAAUUCAUUCUUAAAAAGCUUAUUUUACUUUAAUUAUUUUAUGUUUUUUAGGUUAAAUUCGAUAGGGAUAAGCUUAUCUUAUUUUUUAAAACUUUUUUUUAUUAAGAUUUCUAAUAGGAUUGAAAAUUUCUAUUUUUUAUUUUUUUAUAAUUAUAUUUCUUUUUUUAUUAUUUUUUAUCGUUUAAUUUUUUAUCAUUAUUUUUUAUUUUAAUUUAUUUUUUUUCUAAUAAUGAUAAAAUUAGUAAUUUUUAUAAUUUUAAAAUAGUAACUCGGCAAAAUUAAUUUUCACCUGUUUAACAAAAACAUGGUCUUUCGUUUUAUAUAUAAGAUCAGGCCUGCCCAUUGAUUUUUGAAAAUUAAAAGGCUGCGGUAUUUUAACUGUACUAAGGUAGCAUAAUCAUUUGUCUUUUAAUUGAAGGCUAGUAUGAAUGGUUUGAUGAAAAAUUAACUUUCUUUUUUAAAUUAUUACGAACUUAAUUUUUUAGUUAAAAAGCUAAAAUUUUUUUAUAGGACGAGAAGACCCUAUAGAAGUUUACUUUUUAUAGUAAAAUUGAAUUUUAGUUUAUAUAUUUUUUUUAUAAAUUAAAAGUUUUGUUGGGGUGAUAUUAAAAUUUAUUUAACUUUUAAUUAUUAUUUCAUUUAUUUAUGUUUUAUUGAUCCAUAUUAUUUUGAUUAAAAGAUUAACUUACCUUAGGGAUAACAGCGUAAUUUUUUUGGAGAGUUCAUAUCGAUAAAAAAGCUUGCGACCUCGAUGUUGAAUUAAGAUUAGAUUUGGGGGUAAAAUUUCAAUUUUCUUGGUCUGUUCGACCAUUAAAUUCUUACAUGAUUUGAGUUCAGACCGGCGUAAGCCAGGUCGGUUUCUAUCCUUAUUUUAUAUAAAUUAGUACGAAAGGACCAUUUAUAUUAAUUAAAUUAUUUUUUUUGA
rnacentral:rRNA from 1 species